GCACAUACAGUGUAUUGGAUAGCGGGUAGCCAUCAGAAAAACACUUUGACACCACAAAACACUGAGAUAUGGUAUCUGUAAGAACCACAACGGUGAUAUUGCUGGUGACUACUAUUUAUGUAAUAUCCAGUCAAGUAGAAUGUCAUUUAACUGUUGGAAGAAGUUUUCAAUCUUAUUCUGACACAAAACGAACGCAACAACAGAGGCAAAAUCAAGUUGGAAAAGAGUCGGGAAGCAUAGGUCUUAAAACAUACCUUGAAGACUAUUCUCCAAUUUCACGAUUAAUCAAAAGACAAAGAGACAGUCAACGGGACUACAAUUAGAAAAAAUGGAAUAAUCUUUUCAAUAGCACUGGCACGGUCUUCUUCCAAAGGGCUAAAAAAGAUAACAGCUUAUUUUGAAUACUUAUAAUCUUUCUGCGAAAAUGCCAAUAAAUAUAACAAAUGUUCUAUAACAACGUUCUAUAAUUGCGUUAUUUUAUCUAAAAUUAAAAUGCAUUGCUAGCGUAGCGUGAUUUGUUUACUCCCUAGAUGAAWKAAAAUGAGACAAAACUUAAAAAGGGAUAAACGUCGCUAACUCUUGAUGCUGCCACAAAUCCUGCAACUUUAUAACUCAUGUCCUUCCACAGGCUUGGGUUUUAGAAGGCAUUAAUUGGCUAAGUAUAUAUAAUGCCGAGUCUAGGACAGAAAUGUUUCAUCACUUUCUGUUCUUUUUGUGUGUGAAAUAAAAUGAAAUUUAAAAUUUA